CCUACGGGAGGCAGCAGUGAGGAAUAUUGGUCAAUGGACGCAAGUCUGAACCAGCCAUGCCGCGUGCAGGAAGACGGCUCUAUGAGUUGUAAACUGCUUUUAUACGAGGGUAAACGCAGGUACGCGUAUCUGUCUGAAAGUAUCGUACGAAUAAGGAUCGGCUAACUCCGUGCCAGCAGCCGCGGUAAUACGGAGGAUUCAAGUGUUAUCCGGAUUUAUUGGGUUUAAAGGGUGCGUAGGCGGGCGGUUAAGUUCGAGGUGAAAUCCCGAGGCUCAACCUUGGAAUUGACGUUGAAACUGGGGGGCGAGAGUGUGGUUGGGGCAGGCGGAAUGUGUGGUGUAGCGGUGAAAUGCAUAGAGAUCACGCAGAACCCCGAUGGCGAAGGCAGCCUAC
rnacentral:rRNA from 1 species